UACGUAGGGGGCAAGCGUUGUCCGGAAUCAUUGGGCGUAAAGCGCGUGUAGGCGGCCCGGUAAGUCCGCUGUGAAAGUCGGGGGCUCAACCCUCGAAAGCCGGUGGAUACUGUCGGGCUCGAGUGCGGAAGAGGCGAGUGGAAUUCCUGGUGUAGCGGUGAAAUGCGCAGAUAUCAGGAGGAACACCGAUUGCGAAGGCAGCUCGCUGGGACGUUACUGACGCUGAGACGCGAAAGCGUGGGGAGCAAACAGG
rnacentral:rRNA from 1 species